rnacentral:rRNA from 1 species
UACGUAGGUGGCAAGCGUUGUUCGGAAUUAUUGGGCGUAAAGGGCGCGUAGGCGGUUCGUUAAGUCGGUUGUGAAAGCCCGGAGCUCAACUCCGGAGAGUCGACCGAUACUGGCGAGCUAGAGUACGGAAGAGGUAGCUGGAAUUCCCGGUGUAGCGGUGAAAUGCGUAGAUAUUGGGAGGAACACCAGAGGCGAAGGCGGGCUACUGGGCCGAUACUGACGCUGAUGCGCGAAAGCCAGGGGAGCAAACGGG